UACGGGGGGGGCAAGCGUUGUUCGGAAUUCCUGGGCGUAAAGGGCUCGUAGGCGGCCAACUAAGUCAGACGUGAAAUCCCUCGGCUUAACCGGGGAACUGCAUCUGAUACUGGAUGGCUUGAGUUUGGGAGAGGGAUGCGGAAUUCCAGGUGUAGCGGUGAAAUGCGUAGAUAUCUGGAGGAACACCGGUGGCGAAGGCGGCAUCCUGGACCAACACUGACGCUGAGGAGCGAAAGCCAGGGGAGCAAACGGG
rnacentral:rRNA from 1 species